rnacentral:rRNA from 1 species
UACGUAGGUGGCAAGCGUUGUCCGGAUUUACUGGGCGUAAAGAGCGCGCAGGCGGUCGAUUAAGUCGAGUGUGAAAGCCCCCGGCUCAACUGGGGAGGGUCACUUGAUACUGGUCGACUCGAAGGCAGGAGAGGGAAGUGGAAUUCCCGGUGUAGUGGUGAAAUGCGUAGAUAUCGGGAGGAACACCAGUGGCGAAGGCGACUUCCUGGCCUGUUCUUGACGCUGAGGCGCGAAAGCUAGGGGAGCGAACGGG